UUGAAUUUACACCAGGCAUUGGGCAUCCUCCUGUAUUCCCAGCUAUUGGAGAGGCUGAGACAGGAAGGUCACUAGUUCAAGGCCAUCCUGAGCAAAUUAAGACGCUGUCUCAAAAAUAAAAAAGGCUGGGGAUGUAGCUCAUGAUGGAAUGCCCCUGGGUUCAAUCACCAAUACUGCAAAAUUAAUUAAUUAAUUAAAUAUGUUUCUAAUGGCUCCAGGUACCACAAGAACUCAAGGGCACAUAGAUUGGGUAUCAGGGCAUCAGGAUCCAUCAGUGGUGUCCAUCAUGGUGCCAGUAGAGGGAGAUUUACCACAUGUGCCUUGGUGUUUAGCUUCUAGAAGAGCAAAUAUUGACUGGCCCAAAAUGGCUAUCACAGCUAAGGGCAUGGCUUCUACCGCUGAAGGAAUAAGGAAUUCAAUUCACCCUUGAAGGAAUAAGGAAGCAAGACAAAGCACACUUGUAGCCAAAAGUCAAGGAGAGCAGUAGCCAGCAACCUUAAUCCAAUGUUGUAAGAGUUUGACCCUAGUAAUGUAGUCCUAUAGGAACACCCAGGAGCCCUGGAAAUAUUAAGAGUUGAGUUUGGACUUCGUAUGUACAUAGAGAGAAAAAGCAAGUCAGGAAGCACCUGGGUCCUGAUGUGCCCUGGGCCAGCCUGAGCAGACAGCAGCAGCCAGGCACAUCCCAGUGGGGCUGCUGAGCUGAGCACCAACAGGACUCACCAGGAGUGGGAGAGUCCUCCAAGGCCUUCCCUCUGCUUUCCCACUGGCUCUCCUUAAGAAAGCAGGGGCACAGUCAAGAGCUGGUCCCUGAAGUCAACCCUGGCUCUGCCUUCCUGGCCCUCUGAUCUCUGAAAGUGACCUCAACAGUACUCAUCACUACUACUAUGUGUGGAUCAUGCAUGUGCCAUACCUAGCACAUGUGUUCAGUAU
rnacentral:lncRNA from 1 species